AUCUGUAGAUGGACGACGUGUCUCCACGUCCUCCCACUGUACAACGAUGAAGCCAGUAUAUCCCAGAUACAGGAGCUGCCAUCUUGAGAUUUUGUCGUCAUU